rnacentral:rRNA from 1 species
UACGGGGGAUGCAAGCGUUAUCCGGAAUCAUUGGGCGUAAAGCGCCUGUAGGGUGUUUAAUAAGUCUGUUGUUAAAGACUAGGGCUUAACCCUAGGAAAGCAAUGGAAACUACUAGACUUGAGUAUGGUAGGGGUAGAGGGAAUUUCUAGUGUAGCGGUGAAAUGCGUAGAUAUUAGGAAGAACACCGGUGGCGAAGGCGCUCUACUGGAUCAUUACUGACACUCAGAGACGAAAGCUAGGGUAGCAAAUGGGAUUAGAUACCCCAGUAGUCCUAGCCGUAAACGAUGGAUACUAAACAUUGCGUGCUCGCCGUGGUGUUAUAGCUAACGCGUUAAGUAUCCCGCCUGGGGAGUAUGCUCGCAAGGGUG